rnacentral:rRNA from 1 species
AGUCGAACGGCAGCAUGGAGAGCUUGCUCUCUGAUGGCGAGUGGCGAACGGGUGAGUAAUAUAUCGGAACGUGCCUAGUAGUGGGGAACAACCAGCCGAAAGGUUGGCUAAUACCGCAUACGACCUACGGGUGAAAGCAGGGGAUCUUCGGACCUUGCGCUAUUAGAGCGGCCGAUAUCUGAUUAGGUAGUUGGUGGGGUAAAGGCCUACCAAGCCGACGAUCAGUAGCUGGUCUGAGAGGACGAUCAGCCACACUGGAACUGAGACACGGUCCAGACUCCUACGGGAGGCAGCAGUGGGGAAUUUUGGACAAUGGGGGAAACCCUGAUCCAGCCAUUCCGCGUGAGUGAAGAAGGCCUUCGGGUUGUAAAGCUCUUUC